rnacentral:rRNA from 1 species
UACAGAGGGGGCGAGCGUUGUUCGGAAUUACUGGGCGUAAAGCGUGCGUAGACGGUUAUUUAAGUCAGAUGUGAAAGCCCCGGGCUCAACCUGGGAAUUGCAUUCGAGACUGAAUAGCUAGGGUACGGUAGAGGGAAGCGGAAUUUCCGGUGUAGCGGUGAAAUGCGUAGAUAUCGGAAGGAACAUCAGUGGCGAAAGCGGCUUCCUGGACCAGUACCGACGUUCAGGCACGAAAGCGUGGGGAGCAAACAGGA